rnacentral:lncRNA from 1 species
CCAUCUGUAUUGUUGGUUGGGGCUUGAAAGAACCGCUACUAUUACCGAUUCUUUGACCUUCACGGCUACAUGUGAAGGUUACAUAUCUCAACUCUUCGUCAUCCCCCUUUUUCGAAUUCCUUUUCUUAAUCGGAAAUCCAAUUGCAUAAGCAUAUUUCUUGUAGAAGUCAAACAUGUCUUUUAACUCCUUAAACUCCAUGCCUACCUAAGGCACAAUCAAAC